rnacentral:rRNA from 1 species
UACGUAGGGGGCAAGCGUUGUCCGGAAUUAUUGGGCGUAAAGCGCGCGCAGGCGGUGGAUUAAGUCUGAUGUGAAAGACCAGGGCUCAACCCUGAGAGGUCAUUGGAAACUGGUUCACUUGAGCGCAGGAGAGGAGAGUGGAAUUCCACGUGUAGCGGUGAAAUGCGUAGAGAUGUGGAGGAACACCAGUGGCGAAGGCGGCUCUCUGGCCUGCAACUGACGCUGAGGCGCGAAAGCGUGGGGAGCAAACAGG